CAGCACGGAGGCUCCUGGCUCUUCCGUGAAAGGGGAAAGAAGACUCAGCAUCAGGGUCCUUUGCACUUAGAAACUCUUGCUGCAAAUCCCGUGGUAGGCUCCCUCUUCCUUUAGGACUUCUUGACAGGAAGGUUUUUCCCCCUCCAUGGACAUAGCUGGGCUUCGCAGGUGGCGCUAAUGUUAAAGAAUCCGCCUGCCAAGCUAGGAGACAACACAGGUUCGAUCACUGAGUAGGGAAGAUUUGCUGGAGGAGGCCAUGGCAACCCACUCCAGUAUUCUUGCUAGAAACAUCCCAUGGACAGAGAAGACUGUAAGGAACGGAGAAGGCAAUGGCACCCCACUCCAGUACUCUUGCCUGGAAAAUCCCAUGGACGGAGGAGCCUGUCGUGCAUCGUUUUUCCCUGCGGUAGAGCUUUUGUGACACAGCGUGGUGGCUGGUUCUUGGUUGGCACAUGCGCAGUACAGGGGCCGCCUCUUCUGUUCCCGCACUCAGAGUUCACCUUGUUCUACUCGUGGAACUCCUUUCCUGCUGAGACCUGCACUUGCCUCAAGACUGCUCAGCACAGUCCUUGAACUUGGCAUACGGGGAGCCAGUUCGCUAACCGUGAGUUCACUGUUAACACAGUGGCUCUUCAGGAUGGAGCAUCUUUGUCUCUGGCCUCAGUGGGGUAGCCAAAGUACUUAGCAGGCACUCAGUGCAACUUCGUUGAAUGAAUGUCGAUUCCAGUAGUUAAAGCAAAGGUCUGAAAUUGUGGUCCUCAACCCCCACCUCCACCGCCACACACACACCUUCUAGGAUAAAUCCAUCAGUUCUAGAGUUUAAAAUAGCCCCAAGUGAUUUUGAUAGAAACUCACCCCCUCAAUUUGAAAACUAUUGACUGAAAUAUAAAAACGCAGCUUUUGGAGUUGAAGAAGAGGACAUACAGGGUAAGGAGAAAUGUAUUCUGUUGAUAAAUUGUUACUAGAGGACAAGGAAAAAAAGUUGUCUUUCUCGUUCUUUUGCACAAUUAACCUUUAGUAAAAGUAAAUAAUUAUUUCAGGAGGUACACUCUGACCAAGUGUGACUCUUGAUGAUAGCAUAGUGUUUUGUUUUCUCUUUUAUUGUUAGACAAAAAUAAUGCCACUUUCAAAGAACUGAUAAAUCUGAGUAAAACUCUUUACAGAAGGGAACAACUGAGUCCCUGUAGCCUAUUAAGUAAAGCUCCACCCUUGGCCUUCUAAUUCCUUCAGGGAGCUAAAUCAUUCAUCAAACAUUUAUUGAGACUCUGAUGUGUGCCAGGUAUAGGGCUCUGCUCCAAAGACAGAAGACAGUCAGAUAGAAUUCCUUUUUCCUCCAGUGAGGAAGUAACUGUUGGCAUGUGCAGUUUGCUGUGACAGCAGUCCAUCAUAAAUAUCCCUUUCAGUUCUCAGAAUCAGUAAUGCUUUCCCCCUUUUAUUCCUGUUACGGGUAAUCUGUGCC
ensembl:lncRNA